rnacentral:lncRNA from 1 species
GACAUUUCCGCAGGAAAGAAUGUUCGACAUUCCCAGGAAAAGGGGAAUAGACGUCGACAUUUACCAAGGAAUUCGAUGCCUUCAAAAGAGAAGGCCAGGAUCGACAUUCCGCAGGAAAACAUGUUCGACAUUCCCAGGAAAAGGGGAUAGGCGUCGACAUUUGGCAAGGAAUUCGAAACCUUCAAAAGAGAAGGUCAGGAUCG